rnacentral:rRNA from 1 species
CGUAGGUGGCAAGCGUUGUCCGGAUUUAUUGGGUUUAAAGGGUGCGUAGGCGGCCCUAUAAGUCAGUGCUGAAAUAUCCCGGCUUAACCGGGAGGGUGGCAUUGAUACUGUAGGGCUUGAGUGUAGUCGAGGUAGGCGGAAUUGACGGUGUAGCGGUGAAAUGCUUAGAUAUCGUCAAGAACACCGAUAGUGUAGACAGCUUACUAGGCCACAACUAACGCUGAGGCACGAAAGUGUGGGGAUCAAACAGGAUUAGAUACCCUGGUAGUCCACACUGUAAACGUUGAUUACUCGAUGUUGGCGAUACACAGUCAGCGUCUUAGCGCAAGCGAUAAGUAAUCCACCUGGGGAGUACGCCGGCAACGGUG